CUCCUGAAGGAAACCAACGCCAACACGGGGUCCUCAGUGUUCAACGGAUUAAGGAAAAAAGUUUAUAUAACGACUUGUUUGUAAGUACAUUUACAUUUUGGAGUAAACUAUCCCAAUAAAACUAUCAAAUAAGUCAGCUAAGUUAGUUUAGCUACAACCAAAACCAUCAACAAACCAUCGUAAACUAUUUUUGUACGGCAAUGUUAUUGAGAUAAUAAACAUGUGUUCCCUCAGUCAGAGAAACGCCGUUGUUACACGACUUGUAGACGGUAAACUGACCUACUUUAAACGUGACUAAUAGGAAAUUUGUCCUAAAUAGCAACCAUAAGCUGUUUUUUAAACGAGGACACCAUAUUUCACCAGUGUGACAGGCGAUAAAACACAGUCAGUAUGCUGUUAAACGGCUUCACACUGAACUAUGACUCAGUAUAAGCGGUUUUAUGCAGAGAUUCGUUCCUACAGCCUCCACGCCCACUAACAAACCAAAGAAACUGGCGACACUUGUAUUGGUCCUCAAAGAAGUUAAAAAGGAAAUAAAAUGCGUGAAAACAUCAGCUCGCGGUUUGUUUUGGACGUUAUGAAGCUGGAGUCGUUCGUGAACCGUCCUCCAUCCGGAUUUAUCGUGGAGCGGCGCCCGGGCUGCAGACUCCUGAAGUGGGAUCCGGAGAAAAGCUGCGUCUUCAUCGAUGACAUCCAUUCUAGAGAGGGAAAAGUGAUUUUCUACAAUUCCCCAGGAAGGAAAAUCACAGUACGUACUUUGGGUACACGGAUUUAAGACGACAACUGACCUUAAAGACGAUUUACAUACUAGUGUCUGCUUAUGACAACACUAAAGGCCAAGAGAAGAGCAAUGGGGAUGUUCUAGCUGCUGAAUAUUACGUGUUGGCGAUAAACAGCAGUCAUCCAAUGAUCAGAUGGGAGAUGGAGAGAGGCUUGGACAAGACCAUUUCAUCCGUCGCUGGAGAGAGCUAUACAGUUGACGUUGAUGUUAGUGCAGCGCUGCAGGGAUGGAUGAGGGAGAACUCUCAAGCUCUUGCUGAUCUGAAAAAGGUGGAACGAACCUGGAAAGACACACACUUCACCAUCAAGUACCGCUCUGAUGCCCUUUUUGACUUUCCCUACUGGUUUGGCUUCAGCAAACGACAGUUCAAGGUCUCCUACCAUGGAAGGUGAUAUCAACACAAUUUAAGACAGAAAAUGUUGACUUAAAGGAUUAGUUCACCCCAAAAUUUACUCACCCUUAAGCCAUUCUCUGGGUAUAUGACUUUCUUCUUUCAGACAAACACAGUUGGAGAAGUUUUACAUUUUAUUCAUUUUUUUUUCCAUGCUGUAUAAUGAUGUUGGCUGGUGGCUCUUUUUAAAGCCUUUUAAAAGCAUACAAAAGCAUUACUUCACAUUACAAUUAUACAAAGACAUGUGUGCCAAGCCCCCGAUGGCACAUUCACUGCUUACUAAUAAAGUAACAGUGCCAAAAACUGGCCUGGCAAGCAUAAUACAAGGAAAUCGUUUUGAAAACACUGUCAAGUAGAUGGCGUAUGGGUUAGUUUUACGAUGCAUUUAUUCGGCUGGAGGAGUGCACAAUUUUUUUUGAGACUCGAGCGAACAGUGCAUGCGGCGCCGCAUUUGAUUUGA